UACUACUACUACUACUACUACUACUACUACUACUUCACCUAUCUUUAUGAGCUUCAUGCACUUCAGUUUUACAAUAUAGCAAGAUAACAAAACAAAAUGUUUUGUCAAGAGCUACAUGUAGCUACAAACAUGUGUUUGCGCCCAGAUGCUGUAUCCCAGGUAGGUGUUAUAUCACUAUACACACUCCUUGGCACUAUGCAGAUCAGUUUUUAACUCCUGUCAGCUUUAUUUUUUCUGCUGAAGACGCAAAAUAGCAUAAACGUUGACCUUUUAACACAGGCUUGGCAAUAUGCUUGGGAAGGAUUACUUAUCUUUAAAAUCAUGGCAAUUUUGUAGCAUCAGAAUAUGAGACUGAUGGUCAAAAAGUACAUUACCCCCACUUCUGCACCAGUUAAGGCUAUCAGUCAGGGUCACUCUAUGUCAGUAAGGAAAAUAAUGGUAAAUAAUACAAGUGAUUCCCAAGGCAACUAAUCCCUGGGGGACAACAUAUGAAAACAUUUGGAAAUAAUUCUAAUGACAUUAGAGUUAGUAAAUCAUGCAGGUGCUUUGUACACCUUCACAGUACACACUGUGUGUGGCCAAUUCACAAGCUGUAGAGUUAUAGGCUGAACACAGACCAGCUGCUGGACUGCAGACAUCUUAUUUUUCCUCUGUUCUUACCAGUAAAUAUGAUACUGAUUAUUCCUUUUGUUUCCAUUCUGUGUAAGAUGACUUGAUAAGCUGAGACUAAUAAUUACCAAGAUGCUGUAGCCAACAUGUGCUGGGCUUGCUGCUCAGGGUUUUGGGUUUUUUUUUGUAUUUGCCCUGUUCAAGAAACGUGUCCAGUGGAUUUUCGGAGAAUAUUUACCAUGCUUUAGAACACAUAAGUGAAUAAAAUGUUAAGUGUGAAUUAGUUUUCCACGUGAAUAAUUUUGGUUUUGCCAAAUAUUUAACAUCAAUGUUGUUGGUCAGUGUCUGGUAGUAACUGAUGCAUCACUGCUGCCAAGCUCCACCACAAAGCUUCUAUGUACUCAAGCAGGGCAGCUGGUGUAAACAUGCUUGAGAUGCUAAAAAUCACUCCCUUUUGACACAAAGGUGAACAACUUUACAUUUAAUUUGAAAUAUCCUGAAUACGAAUUGCUUAAUAUUGGAAAAGCAACUAAGAUUUAUUUCAGUAGCAGAAGACUACCAUUGCUAGUAGGCUACACCCUAGUACAGAAAUCUCCAGGAAAGCUAUUUCUGUCCAAAUGAAGGAAGUACACACAGAGAGAUUUUAAAAUGUGAAUCUACAUUUUUGCACCUUAUUUUACUGAAGUAUAGUUAGUUAUUGAUCUGGUUUUCAAAAUAUUCAGAAACUAGCACUUAGCAGAACUAUUUGUUAAUAUUUGUUAAACUGAUCUCUAGUGAGCCAAAAUUUUUCAUAGUGACUCAAUCACUAUCAUUAAAGCUUCCAUUACUUCAGAACUGUGGUCUGUUCUCAGUUUACUUCUGAUUAAACAAACAGUAAAAUUAUCCUAACUUUUAAUAAAGUGAUUCAUAUAUCAGUUUUAAUUUUUUUUUUCAAAGCAACACUGAUCUCCCAUAUAAAGAUCAUGUAAAGACAAGUGUUUCUUAUUUUGUAAUGACCUCUAAUUUUUUAUGGAUUUAAGGAGCUCUAUGAAAGUAUUCUUACUGUAACUAUCUUAUAUUAACCUAAUUCCUUCUUGUUAAGAUUUUGAGAAUUUAGUUAAAGGUAGGAAUUACAGACUUCUACAGAUCUUGCUCAAUUUAUUUUGGCAGACGUUUUUACAAAGCAUUACAAAUUACUUAGAGACACUCUAGUCCGGGCUGCUUCACAUUGCUGAGGCUGGUCAGAAGGCUUGUGUCAUCUUCUUCAAGGACAUAUGUUGCCUGUUGUUUUUGUUUGCUGUCCCUGACAUUUCUACCUUCCAAAAUGCCAGGCAUCAACAAUCAGUCUUAUUAAAUUCUUGCUAAAUAAAAGCUGUAAAUGCAGCAAUGGGAGGUGAUGACGGGUAGGUGCUGAGCUCUGGCUCCAGCACAAAGCACAAUCCCUGUGUGCCAUUAGGCAGUGAGAAUCUGCAUAUGUGUGGGGACAGGUGGUGAAGAAACAGGAUUCCCACCCUCUCUGUUGCUCCCAUGUGCUGGUUAUUAGGAUAUUUUCAUCAAAGAGGUCAUUAAUGGACCAGUGUUGCUCUACACUGAAACGUAGCGGUGCCCAGAAUAGAUGGUGCCUAUGCUUUCAAAGACAGUGGAUUGGUUGAGGGGGAGGAGGAGGAAAGGAAUCUUUCAAUAAUGGUAUCUUAACAGGCAUGGUUUCUAUUUCUGUGUAGCUGGAGGGGUUUGAAAUGUCCCACUUUUAAGCUAGAAGUAUAUUGUAUAGCACAGAACAACUCUUCAGAGUUGGAUUAGUUAUAUUGCCUCAUAUUUGUGCAGUCAAACUGCAUAUAGAUUGACUUUUAGAGGUGCUGAGGAAAUCUAAGUUUCAAUGCCUGCUGUUGGUAUUCAGCACUGAAGGAACUUUAUAGAAGUGCCUAACAAUUAUGGCUCCAAGUUUGAAAAUGUGAUCCUUUAUAAAAAAGCACAGAAACUUAGCUAGAUUAUUCUUCAAUGACUUCAUGAUCAUAGUCUUUGGUUGCAGUGUGAUCCAUAUAGCUGUUGUGCCUUUUCAGCUCUGAGCAUUGCUAGUGGAAAGUGCAAAAUUCUAUGAAGCAAGUUUUUAUAGCAGCUCAUGAUGGAUUGAAAAGACUUGAUUUCUCUUAGGGGUGUGAGCCAGAGAAAAACUGAUCAGUGAAAGAGUCGAAUUCAUGGUGCUAGUUGCAGGUGCAGUCUGAAUUUCUGCAGUAUACAUAUAAAAUGCCAGAAGUAUUUGCAGAAAUAUUGCCUAACAGAAGGCAAUCAGCUGGUCUGAUUGAAGCCAUCAACAUACCAGAAUAAACCAACAGCAGGAACACCACAGCAACUAAAAAAGCAUAUUAACAUUGCUGUUUAACUUAUAAGAUCCUGACAAGAGAGAAUCUAAGAAUCUUUCAGUGAUAAUUUUGUGCAAUUCUCUUCAAAGUGCAUCCGUGUUGUAGGGAGGCACUAUUUUUGUAAGAAACUGCAAGAGGCACUGAAAUUCUAAGAUACUCUUUUUCAUAUCUAAAGAUGAAGGCAAGCACACAGGAUCCAAGCCCCUCAUGCAUUAAAGAGAAGUUAGGCAUGGACAUGGUGUUAAAAAUACUACCUGAAUUGCGAUUUGCAAGUUGAAAUAGAUAAAUUACUUUUCAAAGGCCUGCAGGAACUGAUUCCCUUCCUCUCAUUUCUUUCUUUACUAAUUCUACAGAAUUUGCUCUGGGAAAAAAAAAAAUAGAGAAACCUUCAGUACUGAAAGCAUUUGAAAAAAUAUGAUGAGUCAGAGGAAAAAUGUAUUGCAACCAUUGGGGCUAUCCUGGAAGUAUGUCAUUAUAUCUCUUCUUCUGAGAGAGGAAGAAUAAUGAAGUCUUUCAUCUCCUUGGGCAAAUUCUUUGGUCUGGCAACAGGUAGCAAGAACUUCUUCUCACCCUGCAAGUACUCUACAAAUACUUGCAAGUACAGCAAAUACUUGCCUUCAGAAUGAAGUAGCAUCAGUGCCAGGUGUUUUCAGGUCAUUCUGUGCUGCAGAGGACAAGAAGAAAAUGCAGCCCAUGGGCCAUUCUGCAACCCUCUUCCACUUUUCUUGGCUUUCUUGACACAAGCGAGAGCAUAUACCUAUAAAACAUGUACCCUGUUUGCAAAAUCCAUCAUGGUCUCUUUUUGGUUACUGUUGCUUGGAAGAAAUAAACAUUUUUCCCAAACCCACAGGAAGCUUCUCCAUGAGGAAUCCAGGGCUAGGUGAGAAAUCAGAGGCAUUUUGCUGAUGUCUCUUUUUUUAUUGACAACUCAUUGUCACUUAAUCAUUCAUGCUACAUUUAACUACCUUAGCACAGGACCACGCUAAACACAAGGCUGGCUGUGUGAUUGAGAAACAGAUUGGAUUAGCAGCAGUGUCAUUUGGUUUAAAUGAAGCAAUAGGACUGAUGCAAAGUAUUAGCUUAAGAUAAUACCAGCAGUUCUAGAAACAAAACUUGUGCUAAGGAAACUGAAAAUCUGGGAGUAAUAUUUUUAAAGUGGGCAAAACUUGCCUGCAUUGUAUCUUCUGGCAGAGCAAAAGCUGGCUUUGAGAGUCUGUAAUGGGAAUAUUGCAGGCUCCAGAGCACUGUCCUACAAAGUCUUUUUUUCAUCACUGUUAGUAUGGUACAUUGCUUUUGUUUAUGAGAUCUUCUGCUUAUAAAAGUUUGAUUGAAAUAGUCCAUUCUGUAUCCAAUUCUUGUGUACAUGUAUUUUAGUAUAUGCAAGUGCACAAAUCUUGUGCACAUGUACACACACACAUAUGUUCUAUGCACAUUUGAGGACAGACUCAAGCUCACAUUAUAUACACAUACUUAGAAUCACAGAUGGUUUGGGUUGGAAGGAACCUUAAAGGUCAUCUAGUUCCAACCCCCAUGCCAUGAACAGGAACAACUUCUACUAGACAGGUUGCUCAAAUCCCCAUCUGAUCUGCACUUCUGAUGGUUUUUCAGCCUGAAUAUGUUGCUGAGGGACACCAUGGUGUUACAGUAUAAGUGGCUGUACAACUUAACAACAGAAGCCAAGCUGAUGAGAGAAUGUCAUGGGUCACAGCUUGGGCAUUGAUGGAGAUUAAGCAUGUCGUAGAUUAGCUCAAAGUCGUCCAAGAGCCAGGAGUGCCUGCUGUGGAAACUACAACCCUUCCAUAAAAAUGUGGCACUACCACUUGUUUGCUUCCAGGAGUUCUUUAUCAACAGCCCUGGUCUAAUGUACUUAUCAAGACUACCACACAUUAGAAAAAUAGCCAUCAGACCAUGGCUGAACUACCAUGGUAUUUGCCCAGAGGGUUCUUUCAUGCAUCGUAUACAAAGUUUAAAUAAAAGUCUAAGACAGGAUGCACAUUGUUCACAACCUUUUCUGAAAUUUCUGCUAACUGUUUGAAAAGUGACAACAACAUGAUUACUUCUACACCAGCCCAUCUUUCUAACCCCAAAGGCACAAUUUGCAUGAGUUAUCUUUACAGAAUAGGCUUGAAGAGAAGCAUUCCCAGGCCGCUGAUAUAUUCAGGACAAAAUAUCCUUGCAGUUCCUGAAAUGCAGAAGGCAAGUUACUGUCUGCUUUAGAUCUUGUCUUCAAAAUCUUGUAUUUCCCUUUCAUUUGCAAUCCAUUCCCACCGGAAAGCACUGAGGGGAUGAACUUUGUGCAAAAGUUGACUUUCUGUCAUGACAGUGCAUGUGGUUCCUGUACCUUCCCUAAAGUUGAUCCAUCCAGAACAAAGAAGCACUUGAUUUCUCGGAAAGACCAGUCCAGUAAAAGAAGGCAUGUCUGGCAGAAACAUGAUGAAAAAGUUGAUUCUAUGAAUUUCGGGAUGUUUCUAAUAUAGUCAACUAUCAAAGAAACAUUAAAAUACAGUAAGUAUAUCUAUAAAUAAUGCAACAUAAUGUAACACAACAUAGCAUAGCAGAAUCCAGAGUAUGUAUUAUAUUAAUACUACAUAAUAUGUAAUGUAAUAUGUGGUAUACAACAUGCUAUAUAUCAUAUGUAUCUUCUAUUACAUACUAUAGAUAUGCGAGUGUGUAUAUGUAAUAUGGAUAGAUAUACAUAUUUAAUGACAGAAUCAGUCUUGAUUAACCCAGUGGACCUAUCAUUCCUGCCCACAUCCCUCUUUUCCUAGCAGUGCUUCUACAUUUUCAUAAUGAGUGCCCAGAGCUUUUGGUGCUAUAAGUGUAAAUUCAGCUAUGUAUUUGUAAUAUAUUGCAGGAAAAUUUCUAAUACAUUCAGU